rnacentral:rRNA from 1 species
GACGAACGCUGGCGGCGUGCCUAAUACAUGCAAGUAGGACGCAGUUGCGAACGGGUGAGUAACGCAUAUGUAACUACAUAUUAGAGGGGGAUAACUAUUGUAAACGAUAGCUCAUACCGCAUACUAGUAGAUUGACCUGCGUUGUAUUAGCUCGUGGGUCGGGUGAUGGCCUACCUAGGGAACGAUACAUAGCCGACCUGAGGAGGUGAUCGGCCAAACUGGGACUGGGACACGGGCCAGACUCCUUCGGGAGGCAGCAGUAGGGGAUCUUCGGCAAUGGGGGGAACCCUGACCGAGCAACGCCGCGGGGGUGGAGAAGGUUUUCGGAUCGUAAAGCUCUGUUGUUAAGGAAGCGGUACUUAACCAGAAAGGGACGGCUAACUACGUGCCAGCAGCCGCGGUAAUAC